AAUCUUUGCAAGUUGAGGUCACUCUAUUUGUCAGGCACCAAUUUAAGCCAAGAGAUAAAUGAGGUAUCCGAAAUUCUGUCAGGAUGUGUUUCGGAUGGAAUCGAGACAUUAUCUCUAUCCAAUUCUCAAUUAUCAGGUCAUCUUAAUAAUCUUCUUGGACAGUUCAAGAAUCUGAAUUCCCUCAUUCUUUCAAAUAAUUUGAUUACUGGCUCAAUUCCAGUCACUUUGGGUGAGCUGGCUUCCUUGACAUCUCUGGACCUUUCUCAUAACAAAUUGAAUGGAAGUCUCCCCAUAGGUU
rnacentral:misc_RNA from 1 species